rnacentral:rRNA from 1 species
GACGAACGCUGGCGGCGUGCCUAAUACAUGCAGGUAGAACGCACAGUUUAUACCGUAGCUUGCUACACCAUAAACUGUGAGUUGCGAACGGGUGAGUAACGCGUAGGUAACCUGCCUGGUAGCGGGGGAUAACUAUUGGAAACGAUAGCUAAUACCGCAUAAUAUUAAUUAUUGCAUGAUAAUUGAUUGAAAGAUGCAACUGCAUCACUACCAGAUGGACCUGCGUUGUAUUAGCUAGUAGGUGAGGUAACGGCUCACCUAGGCGACGAUACAUAGCCGACCUGAGAGGGUGAUCGGCCACACUGGGACUGAGACACGGCCCAGACUCCUACGGGAGGCAGCAGUAGGGAAUCUUCGGCAAUGGACGAAAGUCUGACCGAGCAACGCCGCGUGAGUGAAGAAGGUUUUCGGAUCGUAAAGCUCUGUUGUAAGAGAAGAACGGGUGUGAGAGUGGAAAGUUCACACUGGACGUAUCUACUAAAGGCG